rnacentral:rRNA from 1 species
GAUGAACGCUAGCGGCGUGCCUAAUACAUGCAAGUCGAACGGAGGAUGUAGCAAUACUUCCUUAGUGGCGAACGGGUGAGUAACGCGGUGGUGACUUGCCCCGAAGCGGGGGAUAACAGUUCGAAAGAAUUGCUAAUACCCCAUGUGGUAAUCAGGGUUUGAGGCCUGAUGAUUAAAGGAUGACUUCAUUUCGGGAGGGGCCGGAGUCCCAUCAGCUAGUUAGUAGGGUAAUGGCGUACCAAGGCGAUGACAGGUAGGGGACCUGGGAGGGUGGCCCCCAAAAAUGGAACUGAAACACGGUCCAUACACCUACGGGUGGCAGCAGUAGGGAAUAUUGGUUAAUCUGCGAAAGCGGGAACCAGCAACGCCGCGUGUGCGAUGACGGCCUUCGGGUUGUAAAGCACUUUUAUGGAGGAUGAGGAAGGACAGUACUUCAUGAAUAAGUCUCGGCUAACUACGUGCCAGCCGCCGCGGUAA